rnacentral:rRNA from 1 species
UGUGCCUACCAGAAGUCACUGCGCUAACCGCAAGGAGGCAGGUGCCCAAGGUAGGAACGAUGAUUGGGGUGAAGUCGUAACAAGGUAGCCGUAGGUGAACCUGCAGAAGGAUCA